rnacentral:rRNA from 1 species
GGAUCCAGACUUUGAUUCUGGCUCAGGAUGAACGCUAGCUACAGGCUUAACACAUGCAAGUCGAGGGGAAACGAUAGAGAAAGCUUGCUUUUUCUAGGCGUCGACCGGCGCACGGGUGAGUAACGCGUAUCCAACCUGCCCAUCACUUGGGGAUAACCUUGCGAAAGUAAGACUAAUACCCAAUGAUAUCUCUAGAAGACAUCUGAAAGAGAUUAAAGAUUUAUCGGUGAUGGAUGGGGAUGCGUCUGAUUAGCUUGUUGGCGGGGUAACGGCCCACCAAGGCGACGAUCAGUAGGGGUUCUGAGAGGAAGGUCCCCCACAUUGGAACUGAGACACGGUCCAAACUCCUACGGGAGGCAGCAGUGAGGAAUAUUGGUCAAUGGGCGAGAGCCUGAACCAGCCAGGUAGCGUGCAGGAAGACGGCCCUAUGGGUUGUAAACUGCUUUUAUAAGGGAAUAAAGUGGGAGUCGUGACUCCUUUUGCAUGUACCUUAUGAAUAAGGACCGGCUAAUUCCGUGCCAGCAGCCGCGGUAAUACGGAAGGUCCGGGCGUUAUCCGGAUUUAUUGGGUUUAAAGGGAGCGUAGGCCGGAGAUUAAGCGUGUUGUGAAAUGUAGACGCUCAACGUCUGCACUGCAGCGCGAACUGGUUUCCUUGAGUACGCACAAAGUGGGCGGAAUUCGUGGUGUAGCGGUGAAAUGCUUAGAUAUCACGAAGAACUCCGAUUGCGAAGGCAGCUCACUGGAGCGCAACUGACGCUGAAGCUCGAAAGUGCGGGUAUCGAACAGGAUUAGAUACCCUGGUAGUCCGCACGGUAAACGAUGGAUGCCCGCUGUUGGUCUGAAUAGGUCAGCGGCCAAGCGAAAGCAUUAAGCAUCCCACCUGGGGAGUACGCCGGCAACGGUGCAACUCAAAUGAAUUGACGG